rnacentral:rRNA from 1 species
GACGAACGCUGGCGGCGUGCUUAACACAUGCAAGUCGAACGGUAAGGCCCUUCGGGGUACACGAGUGGCGAACGGGUGAGCAACACGUGGGUGAUCUGCCCUGCACUUCGGGAUAAGCCUGGGAAACUGGGUCUAAUACCGGAUAGGACCACUGCCUGCAUGGGUGGUGGUGGAAAGCUUUUGCGGUGUGGGAUGGGCCCGCGGCCUAUCAGCCUGUUGGUGGGGUGAUGGCCUACCAAGGCGACGACGGUUAGCCGGCCUGGGAGGGUGACCGGCCACACUGGGACUGAGGUACGGCCCAGACUCCUACGGGAGGCAGCAGUGGGGAAUAUUGCACAAUGGGCGCAAGCCUGAUGCAGCGACGCCGCGUGAGGGAUGACGGCCUUCGGGUUGUAAACCUCUCUCAGCACCGACGAAGCGCAAGUGACGGUAGGUGCAGAAGAAGGACCGGCCAACUACGUGCCAGCCGCCGCGGUAA